GGGUGUUUUUAGGGGCUGAGGCUCCCCAGAGCAGUUUGAGGAGGUUUGUAGGGGCUGAGGCUCCCCGAGGCAGUUUGGGGAGGUUUUUAGGGGCUCCCAGAUGUUGGUUGGGGCACCUGAGGCUCCUCGGUGUCUUUUUUAGGGGUUUUUUAGGGGCUGAAUCUCCCUAGAGCAGUUUGGGGGGUGUUUUCAGGGUCUGAGUCUCCUCAGUGCAGUUUGGGGGGUGUUUUUAGGGGCUCCCUGAUGCAGUUUGGGGUUUGUUUAGGGGCUGAGUCUCCCUGAUGUAAUUUGGGCAGGUUUUCAGGGGCUGAGGCUCCUCAAUGUCUUCUCAGGAGGUUUUUAGGGUCUGAGUCUCCCCAGAGCAGUGUGGGGACGUUUUCAGGGGCUCCCUGGAGCAGUUUGGGGAGGUUUGUAGGGUCUGAGUCUCCCCAGUGCAGUUUGGGGAGGUUCUCAGGGGCUCCCCAGUGCAGUUUGGGGGUUGUUUAGGGGCCAAAUCUCCCCGGAGCACUUUGGGGAGGUUUUCAGGGGCUCCCCAGUACAAUUUUGGGAGGUUUUCAGGGGCUCCCUGCUGCACUUUGGGGAGGUUUGUAGGGUCUGAGUCUCCCCAGAGCAGUGUGGGGAGGUUUUCAGGGGCUCCCCGGAGCAGUUUGAGGAGGUUUGUAGGGUCUGAGUCUCCCCAGAGCAGUGUGGGGAGGUUCUCAGGGGCUCCCUGCUGCACUUUAGGGAGGUGUUCAGGGGCUCCCUGAUGCACUUUGAGGAGGUUUGUAGGGUCUGAGUCUCCCCAGAGUAGUGUGGGGAGGUUCUCAGUGGCUCCCCGCUGCACUUUGGGGAGGGUUUUAGGGUCUGAGUCUCCCCACUGCAGUUUGGGGAGGUUCUCAGGGUCUCCCCACUGCAGUCUGGGGAGGUUUGUAGGGUCUGAGUCUCCCUGGAGCAGUUUGGGGAGGUUCUCAGGGGCUCCCCAGUACAAUUUGGGGAGGUUCUCAGGGGCUCCCCAGUACAAUUUGGGGAGGUUCUCAGGGCUCCCCAGAGCAGUGUGAGGAGGUUCUCAGGGUCUCCCCAGUACAAUUUGGGGAGGU